GACGAACGCUGGCGGCGUGCCUAAUACAUGCAAGUAGAACGCUGAAGGAGGAGCUUGCUUCUCUGGAUGAGUUGCGAACGGGUGAGUAACGCGUAGGUAACCUGCCUGGUAGCGGGGUAUAACUAUUGGAAACGAUAGCUAAUACCGCAUAAUAGUAGAUGUUGCAUGACAUUUGCUUAAAAGGUGCAAUUGCAUCACUACCAGAUGGACCUGCGUUGUAUUAGCUAGUUGGUGAGGUAACGGCUCACCAAGGCAACGAUACAUAGCCGACCUGAGAGGGUGAUCGGCCACCCUGGGACUGAGACACGGCCCAGACUUCUACGGGAGGCAGCAGUAGGGAAUCUUCGGCAAUAGACGGAAGUCUGACCGAGCAACGCCGCGGGAGUGAAGAAGGGUUUCGGAUCGUAAAGCUCUGUUGUAAGAGAAGAACGAGUGUGAGAGUGGAAAGUUCACACUGUGACGGUAUCUUACCAGAAAGGGACGGCUAACUACGUG
rnacentral:rRNA from 1 species